rnacentral:misc_RNA from 1 species
CCAAGACAAAAUGUGACUCCCAUCCCAAGUGCCGGAAAAACCAAAGAUCGAACGCGAACUCGGCGUGUUUCGCAUUUACACGCUUCCGAUGUUUUUCAUGUUAUUUCGUCGAAACUAAAAACAUCCAAAAACCAAGGACAUACUUCAAGUCUUAACCGCAACAAACUACGACACAACAGCAAUAGCAGACAGUAGAACCAAAACAUCCUCCUUUGUCCCUUGUCCUAAAAUCCCACAGAACCCCGCGCCUACGCCAAUCUCCAAUUUCUUCACUCCUUUUUAGAUCUUUCUUUCUUCACCGAUUCUUUACCUUUUUGUUUCUAGAUUUUCUUAGUGUACAGCGAGGGAGAGAUGUUGGCUGGACAGGUGGUGAAAGUAAAGAGUGAGACACUCCAGACAUGCAUGACAUGUCCUCUUUGUAAGAAGUUGCUAAGGGAUGCUACCACUAUAUCUAUGUGCCUUCAUACGUUUUGCAGGAAGUGUAUAUAUGAAAAGCUCUCAGAUGAAGAGGUAGACUGCUGUCCUGUAUGCAAUAUUGA